CUACGGGUCGUUCCAGGCGAGAAAACUUUGCAAUGUGCGAAAGCACGACAAGGUUAAUCCGAGUGGUUUGUGCUAAACGAACCUUUUGACAGUCCUAGAAACACUGUUGAAUAAGGGGUGGGCAAGUUCUGGUGUCAGCCGCCGCGGUAAAACCAGCACCUCAAGUGGUCAGGAUGAUUAUUGGGCCUAAAGCAUCCGUAGCCGGCUCUGUAAGUUUUCGGUUAAAUCUGUACGCUCAACGUACAGGCUGCCGGGAAUACUGCAGAGCUAGGGAGUGGGAGAGGUAGACGGUACUCGGUAGGAAGGGGUAAAAUCCUUUGAUCUAUUGAUGACCACCUGUGGCGAAGGCGGUCUACCAGAACACGUCCGACGGUGAGGGAUGAAAGCUGGGGGAGCAAACCGGAUUAGAUACCCCCGUAGUC
rnacentral:rRNA from 1 species